rnacentral:rRNA from 1 species
CGUAUCACCCAAGACAACUUUACGGAGUUGACGAUUGACGGAGCGAAGCGACGUCAAAGCGUUCAUUAAAGUCGAGUUGGCUUAGGGAUACGUUCGUUGGGUAGGGGAGCGUUCUGUAAGCCUGUGAAGGUGUGUCGUGAGGCAUGCUGGAGGUAUCAGAAGUGCGAAUGCUGACAUAAGUAACGAUAAAGCGGGUGAAAAGCCCGCUCGCCGGAAGACCAAGGGUUCCUGUCCAACGUUAAUCGGGGCAGGGUGAGUCGACCCCUAAGGCGAGGCCGAAAGGCGUAGUCGAUGGGAAACGGGUUAAUAUUCCCGUACUUGGUGUUACUGCGAAGGGGGGACGGAGAAGGCUAUGUUGGCCGGGCGACGGUUGUCCCGGUUUAAGCGUGUAGGUGUGUGUUCCAGGUAAAUCCGGUUCACUUUAACACUGAGGCGUGACGACGAGGCACUACGGUGCUGAAGCAACAAAUGCCCUGCUUCCAGGAAAAGCCUCUAAGCAUCAGGUAACACGAAAUCGUACCCCAAACCGACACAGGUGGUCAGGUAGAGAAUACCAAGGCGCUUGAGAGAACUCGGGUGAAGGAACUAGGCAAAAUGGUGCCGUAACUUCGGGAGAAGGCACGCUGACACGUAGGUGAAGUGAUUUACUCAUGGAGCUGAAGUCAGUCGAAGAUACCAGCUGGCUGCAACUGUUUAUUAAAAACACAGCACUGUGCAAACACGAAAGUGGACGUAUACGGUGUGACGCCUGCCCGGUGCCGGAAGGUUAAUUGAUGGGGUCAGCGCAAGCGAAGCUCCUGAUCGAAGCCCCGGUAAACGGCGGCCGUAACUAUAACGGUCCUAAGGUAGCGAAAUUCCUUGUCGGGUAAGUUCCGACCUGCACGAAUGGCGUAAUGAUGGCCAGGCUGUCUCCACCCGAGACUCAGUGAAAUUGAACUCGCUGUGAAGAUGCAGUGUACCCGCGGCAAGACGGAAAGACCCCGUGAACCUUUACUAUAGCUUGACACUGAACAUUGAGCCUUGAUGUGUAGGAUAGGUGGGAGGCUUUGAAGUGUGGACGCCAGUCUGCAUGGAGCCGACCUUGAAAUACCACCCUUUAAUGUUUGAUGUUCUAACGUGGACCCGUAAUCCGGGUUGCGGACAGUGUCUGGUGGGUAGUUUGACUGGGGCGGUCUCCUCCUAAAGAGUAACGGAGGAGCACGAAGGUUGGCUAAUCCUGGUCGGACAUCAGGAGGUUAGUGCAAUGGCAUAAGCCAGCUUGACUGCGAGCGUGACGGCGCGAGCAGGUGCGAAAGCAGGUCAUAGUGAUCCGGUGGUUCUGAAUGGAAGGGCCAUCGCUCAACGGAUAAAAGGUACUCCGGGGAUAACAGGCUGAUACCGCCCAAGAGUUCAUAUCGACGGCGGUGUUUGGCACCUCGAUGUCGGCUCAUCACAUCCUGGGGCUGAAGUAGGUCCCAAGGGUAUGGCUGUUCGCCAUUUAAAGUGGUACGCGAGCUGGGUUUAGAACGUCGUGAGACAGUUCGGUCCCUAUCUGCCGUGGGCGCUGGAGAACUGAGGGGGGCUGCUCCUAGUACGAGAGGACCGGAGUGGACGCAUCACUGGUGUUCGGGUUGUCAUGCCAAUGGCACUGCCCGGUAGCUAAAUGCGGAAGAGAUAAGUGCUGAAAGCAUCUAAGCACGAAACUUGCCCCGAG